rnacentral:rRNA from 1 species
UACGUAGGGGGCAAGCGUUGUCCGGAUUUAUUGGGCGUAAAGAGCGUGUAGGCGGCCAAGCAGGUCCGCUGUGAAAACUCGAGGCUCAACCUCGAGACGUCGGUGGAAACCGUUUGGCUAGAGUCCGGAAGAGGAGAGUGGAAUUCCCGGUGUAGCGGUGAAAUGCGCAGAUAUCGGGAAGAACACCCGUGGCGAAGGCGGCUCUCUGGACGGUACUGACGCUGAGACGCGAAAGCGUGGGGAGCGAACAGG